rnacentral:rRNA from 1 species
UAGAGUUUGAUCCUGGCUCAGAACGAACGCUGGCGGCAGGCCUAACACAUGCAAGUCGAGCGAGAUCUUCGGAUCUAGCGGCGGACGGGUUAGUAACGCGUGGGAACGUACCCAAAGGUAGGGAAUAGCCACUGGAAACGGUGAGUAAUACCCUAUGUGCCCUUCGGGGGAAAGAUUUAUCGCCUUUGGAUCGGCCCGCGUUAGAUUAGAUAGUUGGUGGGGUAACGGCCUACCAAGUCUACGAUCUAUAGCUGGUUUUAGAGGAUGAUCAGCAACACUGGGACUGAGACACGGCCCAGACUCCUACGGGAGGCAGCAGUGGGGAAUCUUGGACAAUGGGGGCAACCCUGAUCCAGCCAUGCCGCG